CACGGGGGUUGCGAGCGUUGUCCGGAAUUACUAGGCGUAAAGGGCAGGCAGGCGGAUCCAUAAGUUUAUCGUUUAAGGCGUCGGCUUAACCGGCGUAGGGCGGUAGAUACUGUGGAUCUGGAAUGCGGUUGGGGAAGACAGAAUUCCUGGUGUAGCGGUGGAAUGCGCAGAGAUCAGGAGGAAUACCGAAGGCGAAGGCAGUCUUCCAAGCCGUUAUUGAAGCUCAACUGCGAAGGUGUGGGUAUCAAACAGGAUUAGAUACCUGGGUAGUCCCUGAG
rnacentral:rRNA from 1 species